GGAUUCUGGAGGACAUUCGUAGGACCAGAAUCUGAUGUGAGAGAAGGAAAGACCAGGGAUACAGCUAGAGGGGUCCUCUUGAAAACUCCAGUUCCUCUCGAAGACUUGGCAACUCCUGAUGAUUGGAGGCAUUUGCUUGCAGGAUUUCUGAUUACACACUGAAUUUAAUCCUUGGGUUUUAUCAGCGCAUCAGGGAGUUCCUCCCCUCAGCCACACCACUUCAGCUCUGGGCCAUCGGCUUGUGGAAUUUGUAACUAUUAUC